rnacentral:rRNA from 1 species
CACGUAGGGGGCAAGCGUUGUCCGGAUUUAUUGGGCGUAAAGAGCUCGUAGGCGGUUCGGUAAGUUGGGUGUGAAACCUCCAGGCUCAACCUGGAGACGCCACCCGAUACUGCUGUGACUAGAGUCCGGUAGGGGAGCGUGGAAUUCCCGGUGUAGUGGUGGAAUGCGUAGAUAUCGAGAGGAACAUCGGUGGCGAAGGCGGCCUUCUGGACGGUGACUGACGCUGAGACGCGAAAGCGUGGGGAGCAAACAGG